AUGAAACACUAGUUCUCGUACAAUCACCGAAGUUAAGCAACGUUGAACCUGGUCAGUAACUAGAUGGGUGAGAGCUUGGGAAUAUCAGGUGCUAUA